CUAUGUAAAGUAAGCAAGCUCAAGACCUAUCAAUAUUCUUUGUUCUACCCAUAAACUGAAAACUAUAGAAAUUCCUGACAAGAAACAGGAAUUUACCAUGGGUUUUAAUAAGUUGUUCCAGCUAAAACAGAACGAGACAAAAAGUUUGUGCUAGAGGCAGCUGAGAAGCAAGCAGAACUGAUAGACCCCUUGGAACAGGGCUCACCACUAAAGUCCCCUCAAAGAGGUUCAUAUUCACAGAAUGCAGCUGACCUUGUACCUGAGGAUGGGGCCACUCAAAACCUAAAUACACUGGAAGAAAAGCCAAAGACAGUUUUGUGGAGACUCCGUGAGUCCAAUAGGAGUGCAGAAAACAUUAAUUACAGAUCAAAGAAGAGAUCAAAGAUAGAACACAACCAGUACCCAAGAAGCCCCCAGUCUCUCUCUCUCUCUCUCUCUCUCUCUCUCUCUCUCUCUCUCUCUCAUGCCAAAGGAAGCUACCGUACCCUCCCAUCAUCAGUUACUUUUGCCUGCUUUGGAACAUACUAUAAAUGGCAUCAUGAAACAUUA